GGGCUUUAUUUUGGAAACUGGUUACUUUGAACUUAACUUAAGAGUGUUCGAAUCACUCAAAAGCCUA
rnacentral:tRNA from 1 species